rnacentral:rRNA from 1 species
UACAGAGGGUGCGAGCGUUAAUCGGAAUUACUGGGCGUAAAGCGCGCGUAGGCGGCUUUGCAAGUCGGGUGUGAAAUCCCCAAGCUUAACUUGGGAACUGCAUUCGAGACUGCAUUGCUAGAGUAUGGGAGAGGGAAGUGGAAUUUCCGGUGUAGCGGUGAAAUGCGUAGAUAUCGGAAGGAACAUCAGUGGCGAAGGCGACUUACUGGACAACUGUUGACGCUGAGGUGCGAAAGCGUGGGGAGCAAACAGG